CUUUCUUCUAAACCCUCAAUUCUUCUCUGCCUCCGUUUUCCCUUCAACCCUAAUAAGUUGCCACUCUUCUCCGCCGCCCUCAUCUCUCGCCUCUUUCCUUGAAUUUGGAUUUGCUUGAAUUACCGAGCAAAGGAAUUUUUUUUCAUAAUGUUCUUUGUUGACUGGAUAUCUACUUUUGCAGUUGAAAGUUCAGAUAGACUUUCAACUAUAUGUUGUUCGGAAACUAUUCUUUUCUUUUUAGCCUUACAUUGUUGUAGCACCACCGAAAAGCAUUAUUAGUACUUUUAGCAUGAACUUUCCUUUUAACUAAUACAAGUUCACUGGAUUUUCAUUUGUCCAUAACAGUUCAACAUCACAGGAUUUUGUUUCUGAAUUUUAUUGUCAAAAUCUGAACUUUAACCAAUUUUUAGAGAUUAGUUUUGAUUUUUAAGUGUUUAAAGUAGUGGGUUUUAUUUAGUUGAUUGAAAUUUGAGUUCAUGGUGAAGAAAUUCAGGAAAAGUACAUUCUUAAAGUUACAGGGCUAAACUACACGAGGUGCUAUUUUUAUUCAAAAGAACAUCUUUUGUGUACUGAAUAAAAUAAAUCUGUGGUUGAUUUGUUGCAAGCAUGUUUGGUGAAUUGCUGAUAUUCAAACGGCAUGGUUUCUUUCACCGUAGCUGUUUCGGUUGUCCAUGUGAAGAGAUGGAAUCAGUGGCGAUAAUUGAUAUCGAGGGAUGACGUGUUUAAAGGGGUUUCGAGUUGAGAUUGAGCUAUGAAGUUGAGCUAUUGGUUGCUGUCAGUGGGUAUAGAAAGGAUGAUGGAGGAAAUGGUGCUGUUGAGAUUGCAGGGAAGCACAUGAAUUACUUGCGUUGAUUGAAAGAGGGUUGUGAUUGCAGGAAAGGAGAGUGGCAAUGUUAAGAGUACCAAUUAAACUUAGCUCCAAACAUGGAUUUCACUGCUGAUAAAUGGAUUUUAUUACGAGUUCAAGCCUGUUUUACAUUUACUUUUUUUUUUUUGGGUUCGAUGUUUGAGGGGAUUGCAAUACUUGAAUAUAUCUAUGACUGUUUUAUCACAGCGCUUGAUAUUAUGAAAGAGUAUGUACUGCUGGAUAGCUGGUCCUAUGUCAUUUGUGUUUGGAAGGUUUUGACCUAUCUAAACUGUAAAAAAGGAUGGGAAAUUACCGACUGACCAUGAGGUAGAAAAUUCUUAACUGUGUAAAACGUAGCUCUAACCUUUCAUUACUUAGGAGGAAAAGCUUGGGUAAAAUGCAUAUAUUUUAUACAUGUUGAUACUAUCUUUAUUCAUUUUAUCCCUUUGUUCAUUAUGGGACAU